UACAGAGGUCUCAAGCGUUGUUCGGAUUCAUUGGGCGUAAAGGGUGCGUAGGUGGCGCGGUAAGUCGGGUGUGAAAUCUUGGAGCUUAACUCCGAAACUGCAUUCGAUACUGCCGUGCUUGAGGACUGGAGAGGAGACUGGAAUUUACGGUGUAGCGGUGAAAUGCGUAGAUAUGACAUAGAACACCAAUUGCGAAGGCAGCUCACUACACAAUCAUUGACGCUGAGGCACGAAAGCGUGGGGAUCAAACAGG
rnacentral:rRNA from 1 species